AUAAUAGUAAUAUAUUGCCAUGAAAACUAUUUUUUAUUCAGUCUUUUCAAAAUGUUCUCGUCACUCCUACCUAUAUUUUUGGUCGCCGUUGUUUCGGCAAAAGAAGCGAGAGAAGGUGAGUUCCCCUAUCAGGCCUCCAUUAGGUCUGAAAGCGGUCACAUGUGCUCCGGCGCCAUUUUGGAUAAGUAUUGGAUACUGACUUCCGCUAAAUGCGUAUUGCGUUUACGCCGCCAAAAUGUACAAUAUGUUGUGGUCGGUACAAACGACGUCACUGCACCAGGUACUAGUUUUCCAGUUGAGAUUAUUCAUACACACCCGAGACACGUCAGCUAUAAACACGACAUAGCGCUGGUGAAAGUUGACGGUACAAUUAAAUUUAACGACAAAAUCAAACCCGUACACUUGCCCGAGAGAAGUACCAAACCGGGAGCCGACAUGGUUUACUCUGGAUGGAAAGGACCAUCUGAUUCGAAUUGUACAAAAAAUUUGCUUAUGAGAAAAGUGUCUUCUAUACCCCGUGAUGAGUGUCAAAGGUCAACAGGACCACACCUCGACAGGUACCAAAUUUGCACCCUUGAUUACGACGCUUAUCGAAAAGGCGAAGACUUCUUUGAUGACAAAGGUGGUCCAAUCGUGGAAGGGUCAAAAUUGGCAGCCAUCGCAUCCGUUCCGCGUAGGAAGAACGCAGCAAGUGUACACACAAGAGUCUACGAACAUCUACCUUGGAUCACAGUUACCAGAGAUCCGGACACUAUUAUUCGUUAAAUGACAAUGUAUAAAGUAACAUUGAGAUAAUUUGUAUUUAAAUGUUUUGUGUGAAUAAAUGCAAACUAUAUA